rnacentral:tRNA from 1 species
AACAGCGUAAUCUUAUUAAAGAGUUCAAAUCGAAAAUAAGGAUUGCGACCUCGAUGUUG